rnacentral:lncRNA from 1 species
CCGCCUGCCGACCUCUCGGGGUGUUUGAGAGGUGAUGAAAUGGGAGGUGGCCCCCCAUCUUGUGGACGGUGUAGGACAUGAUAAAAUCAACUCGCGAGCUGACCAGGAACUAAGUUGACGCGCCGUUGAUCCGCUAGAUUUGGUUGGAUGCUGGUGGUGAGUUGCCAAACUCAAAGAGUACACUCUGAAGUCGGAUGGGGUGAAUGGCUUAGGGUGCCCCUCUAGCAGGGGAGAGCAGGGAAUUGCCUCGGGAAGGAGGCCACUGGUGAAGCUUAACCACCCUGUAACAACAUCAACAGUGGCCGCGGAGCUAGCGGCAGCAAGCCAGGAUCCGGUGGAUCAGCUAGGGGGCCAGGUGUUCCGCGGCAGGUAGUGUUCGUAGCAUACAACAACGAGCGUCAGACGGAAUGGUUUCUGGACUCCACAUCUACUCACCACGUAACUUACGACCGAUCCGAACUAUUG